UACGGAGGAUCCGAGCGUUAUCCGGAUUUAUUGGGUUUAAAGGGAGCGUAGAUGGAUGUUUAAGUCAGUUGUGAAAGUUUGCGGCUCAACCGUAAAAUUGCAGUUGAUACUGGAUAUCUUGAGUGCAGUUGAGGCAGGCGGAAUUCGUGGUGUAGCGGUGAAAUGCUUAGAUAUCACGAAGAACUCCGAUUGCGAAGGCAGCCUGCUAAGCUGCAACUGACAUUGAGGCUCGAAAGUGUGGGUAUCAAACAGGAUUAGAUACCCUGGUAGUCCACACGGUAAACGAUGAAUACUCGCUGUUUGCGAUAUACUGCAAGCGGCCAAGCGAAAGCGUUAAGUAUUCCACCUGGGGAGUACGCCGGCAACGGUGAA
rnacentral:rRNA from 1 species